ensembl:Mt_tRNA
AGUCCCGUGGUGAAUUUUCACAUUGAAUUGCAAAUUCAAAGGAGCAGCUUCAAUUUCUGCCGGGGCUU